AACGAACGCUGGCGGCAUGCCUAACACAUGCAAGUCGAACGAGACCUUCGGGUCUAGUGGCGCACGGGUGCGUCACGCGUGGGAACCUGCCCUUAGGUUCGGCCUAACUCCCCGAAAGGGGUGCUAAUACCGGAUAAUGUCUUCGGACCAAAGAUUUAUCGCCUUUGGAUGGGCCCGCGUUGGAUUCGCUAGUUGGUAGGGUAAAAGCCUACCAAGGCGACGAUCAAUAGCUGGUCUGAGAGGAUGAUCAGCCACACUGGGACUGAGACACGGCCCAGACUCCUACGGGAGGCAGCAGUGGGGAAUAGUGGACAAUGGGCGAAAGCCUGAACCAGCAAGGCCGCGUGAGUGAUGAAGGCCGUAGGGUUGUAAAGCUCUUGUACCCGGGAUGAUAAUGACAGUACCGGGAGAAUAAGCUCCGGCUAACUCCGUG
rnacentral:rRNA from 1 species